AUGUGUGUACCGAAAAGACAGGGAGGUAUGGGAUUUAGAGAUAUUCACUGUUUCAAUUUAGCUCUCUUAGCUAAGCAGGCGUGGAGGCUUAUUGAGAACCCAGAUUCUUUGUGUGCCCGGAUUCUGAGAGCAAAAUACUUCCAGGAUGGUGAUUUAUUAAAUUGCAUGUUAAAGAAGAAUGCCUCAUUUACAUGGCAAAGCAUAAUGCAAGGUGUGAAUACUUUGAGACAUGGAUAUAUUUGCAGAGUAGGAGAUGGUGGAAACAUUAAUAUCUGGAGGGAUGCUUGCAUCCCAAACUCUCCAUCCGGAAUGAUUAUCACACCUAGGGGAGGCCAUUUGAUUUCUAAGGUGAGUGACUUAAUUGAUCCAUCAACGGGUCAGUGGGAUGUCGACCUUGUUGAGCAAACUUUUUGGCCCAUUGAUGCGGUAAGGGUUCUUGCUAUACCAUUAUCGACAAACGAUAUGACUGAUUUUAUUUUUUUCCCUCUGAAUAAGCAUGGAAAUUUUACUGUCAAAUCGGCUUACCAUACUGUCUGGGAUUACCAACAUGGACGUAAACUACGGAGAAUUGAUGGUUUGGGCGCCUCAAGCGCUAACCCAACAUGGCAAAAAGUUUGGAAACUUAACUGUCCAGCAAAGGUAAAAAUCUUUCUCUGGCGAACACUACAUGGAACUAUGCCUUAUAAUGUUCUUGCAAAUAGUCAUAUACCUGUUAGACCGGCGUGUCCAGCAUGUGGCCAAAGUGCGGAAGAUGUUUUGCAUGUGUUGUUUCGAUGCAAAAAAGCCAAGGAAGUGUGGCGCCUCCUAGGACUGGAAGAUGUUAUA
rnacentral:rRNA from 1 species